AAGAGUCAAGGAGGAGCUAGCAAAGCUUUUUCAGAGUGAGUAGUGAGGAAGGACUGGCAAGAAAACCCAGCAGCCUGGAAGUGAAGUGGAGAAAAUAACUUAAGAAAGAAGGCAUGAUUCUGAACCUCAUUGAUGACCACACUGAAAACAAGGAGAUACUACUUGUAACACCUUCUUUGACAGGCAAAAGUAAAGGAGAAGGAAGAACAAUUUAAGCAGCAAACCAACAGAAUUGCUCAAUCACCAAGGAGAGUCACAAGGGGACAAGAAUCAUAGACAUCCACAGUAGCCCGUUCCCAGUUUUCAUCUUGCACAGAAAUGACUAAGAGUAUGAGAGAAAAUAAAUGAAUAGUCACAGAAUUUAUUACUUCCACUGAAAUCAACAAACAUCUUUGGGAAAAAUAACAGGGCUCACGUAAGCCCCGUGUCAUUUAAAAACCCUCUGGAGCAUGCAAUUUUUGGUUCAUUCUUUCUUUAUAUUUGUCAGUUUUCCCUACUGAUUGGAACCUUCUGGGGACUAUUAUCUCAUUUUCUUCAAUAAUCUUACCUGAUUUUGACCCACUUAAACCAUGAAUAGCUCUGGUUUUAAUUAAUUGGAUAUUUUCAGAUUACAGUGUGACCCCUUGCCCAAAAUAUCAGGAGGAUUUCAUGUAUAAUUUCAGCUUUCUUUAAAGUCGUAAAAUCUUCCUGGUUAAGAAACUGCUGUAUUUUAACUUGCUUCAUUUUUUCAUAACACACAAAAUCCAAUAUUAUUCAAUUUCCCCUAUUUUAGACAGACUAGAAAAAAGUGAAAGUAAAUGAAUACAUUGGUUCAUUUCUGCUCUUCAUUUUACAAUUAUAUUUCCUGUUAUAAUUGAAGAAAGUCACAAUGAAUAUGCUUGAAAAGCCUUCUGUUGUUAAAUCUAACAACACCAGUGCUGCUGCGCCAGUAAAAGGCAGUUAGAGAGAUUUUAUGUAAAAGAUUUUUUGGCAAAAACAGGAGGAACAAUACUUUCUAAGUCUGUACUCUCAUGUAGAGACCUAUGUCAUCCUCAUUCUAGGGCCUUCCAUUACAGGAUUAUUAGUUCUGACAGGGUUUUUCCUUCUAUCUCAUUAGAGACAACAAAAAGCCUGCUGAGGGGCACACAUACACACACACACACACACACACAUGCUAUAUAUAUAUGUAUAUGUAUAUACACACACACACAUAUAUACAAACACACAUACACACACACACACACACACACACAUAUCCACAGAUAUAGAUAGAUAGAUAUCCAUGGAAAAGAAAGAAAUAUUUUUAUUCAAAAUAAACUGAAAUUCAGUUUUAUGAACCCCAAAUCCUACUGUUAAUAAAUAUUACAAGCAGGAAAGCGCCAUGAUAUAUUUACCUUCCUUUAAAUGAAAGUCAUCUGGCUAGAUACAGAUCUUGGUGGGUAAUUAAUAUAGAUAUUGGAGAAAUGUAGGCAACACUCGAGAUAGUGGAUCUUAGUGGAAUAUCCUUUGGACAACUAAACCUAUGUGCAAAUCUCUGUCCUGCUGUCGACUACUUGUGUGACCUUGGGUCAAUUACUUGACUCAGCUGAGCUUCUUUCUCUUUACUUGUUAAGAUUUGUUGUCAUACGUGUACUCACAUAUAGAGUGGCUGAGUGGGUUAAAUGAAAUAGACAAUGGUGAUAAA